UAUGCCGCGUGUAUGAAGAAGGCCCUAGGGUUGUAAAGUACUUUCAGCAGGGAGGAAAAAAAUAAUAAUAUUAUUUUGUGACGUUACCUGCAGAAGAAGCCCGGCUAACUCCGUGCCAGCAGCCGCGGUAAU
rnacentral:rRNA from 1 species